rnacentral:rRNA from 1 species
UACGUAGGGGGCAAGCGUUGUCCGGAUUUAUUGGGCGUAAAGAGCGUGUAGGCGGCCAUGUAGGUCCGUUGUGAAAACUCGAGGCUCAACCUCGAGACGCCGAUGGAAACCAUGUGGCUAGAGUCCGGAAGAGGAGAGUGGAAUUCCUGGUGUAGCGGUGAAAUGCGCAGAUAUCAGGAGGAACACCGGUGGCGAAGGCGGUGGUCUGGGCCGGCACUGACGCUGAGGAGCGAAAGCGUGGGGAGCGAACAGGA